GUGCUUGUUUCAGCAGCACAUAGACUAAAAUUGGAAUGAUAUAGAGAAGAUUAGCAUGGUCCCAGCGCAAGGAUGACAAAUUCGUGAAGCAUUCUAUAAUUUU
ensembl:snRNA U6 U6 spliceosomal RNA